GAUGAAGAACGUAGCAAAAUGCGAUAAGUAAUGUGAAUUGCAGAAUUCAGUGAAUCAUCGAAUCUUUGAACGCACAUUGCGCCCGCCAGUAUUCUGGCGGGCAUGCCUGUUCGAGCGUCAUUUCAACCCUCAAGCACAGCUUGGUGUUGGGACUCGCGUUAAUUCGCGUUCCCCAAAUUGAUUGGCGGUCACGUCGAGCUUCCAUAGCGUAGUAGUAAAACCCUCGUUACUGGUAAUCGUCGCGGCCACGCCGUUAAACCCCAACUUCUGAAUGUUGACCUCGCAUCAGGUAGGAAUACCCGCUGAACUUAAGCAUAUCAAUAAGCGGAGGA
rnacentral:misc_RNA from 1 species